CUGGACCUGGCAGCAAACAGACUCUGAUCAUUUAAUAAAGUGUCAUUUUAACAAAGAAUUUCAUUUGAAAAUGUUUGAUUCUAUAUGUUCAUAUCUAAAUGGAGGAUUUAAUCUGAAGAAAUUAAUGUGAAAAGUUCAUGUUUGAUCCUAAAAACUUUAAAUCUUUCCAGAGCAUUUUUAAAACUUAACAUGAUCAUGAUCAGAAUUACAGUGAUUACCUAAACGGCAAAAAGUUUAUUCAAUAAAUUAUUAACAAAUAUAUCAUUUGAGAAAUUUCCAGCAGUCAGUUCACAUUUAUUCUAAUAUUUGGUGCAGAAUUCAGAAGCUUCUUCAUUAUGGAUCCCUGGUCGGAACCAUUCUGGGUUCUAACGACCCGUUUAAGACUCGACUCGGGGUCCAGCUCAGUCUCACCCAGCGGAUCUGGUAGGAGAAGCCCAGUCUGAGCCAGGGCCCGGUUGGUACCGGUACCGCUCACAUGGGAACACAGGAGGUUUUCAGCCGCAAUCAUCCAGAAGCAGCCUCACCUGGACUCCCUCCCUGGUUACUAUGACAACCAGGUGAUUAGCCCACCUGGCUGCAGAGUCCAAGUGUUUUCCUCAGUGGAGUCGGAGCUUCCAGUUUCAGCAUGAGAGCUGCAGCGAGCUUUAUGGAGGAAAAUCUUUACCAAAUCUGAAUCAUUUGUCUACUUUUCAAUGACUAGAGGGGGACAGGUCCAUUCUGGACAGGUGAGGGAUCACCUGUGCUUCUCCUGACGAUGUGCUGCUGCUUCAUGAGAGGAACCAUGGGUCAGAGGUCAGAUGGAGGGUAAAACUGAGCAGAUUUUAGCUCUGAUUCCUCCAAGUUAAAUGUUUCUCUACAAACCUCCAGGUCUGUCAGAAAUGUCUGAUUUCAAGCUGCUGCUCUCUGAUCACAUCAACAUGAGACGUUUCCUUCAUCUAGUUCGGUCAUAAAAACGCUCUUCCAGACGUUCUCUGGGUUCUUCUGGGUUUCUGGAACCCAGAUCUGAAGGCCCAGGUGACUCUGAGUCUGCAGGAGGAAACCUGUCAGCUUCACGACAGUUUUCCAGAACAUUCCUGACCUUUGACCUUCAUUUGUUCAGCAGAUUUUCCGUCCUCAGGUGUGGUUGAGUUGGAGUGUCGGGAUCGGUAUCUGUGGAUCCGCCUCGCUUCGAAGCAGUCGGUCAGCUCUUCUUCACUGAACUCGACACCGGGAGCGUCCGUGUCUCUGAUGUCCUCAUUUAGACGCAGACGGCGUCCACGCCAUCAGCGGACGGACGGUGUCCACGCCAUCAGCGGACGGCUCGCCUCCUGCUGUGGUCACACCAUCAGCACCGUCAGGCCGGACGGCUUCACCGUCUUCAGAGCAUCGUUUUCCUCCUGCUUUCUGGUGCCUGUCCCCGGAGGGCGGAGGGGCGUGUCCACCUGUCCUGAAUCCCACCUGCCGGUUGAUGACCUCUACCGGUCUUUGCACCAGGCGUUACGUCUGUUCUGGACACACAGAGCUCACCUGUGAGGAGGACUGCAUGGAGGUGAGCAGGUCACCUGGUAACCAGCUGACCUGCUGUGGUUUUGUUGUCGGCUGAAUGUGAACAGAGUCUUCAUGUGGAGGGCAGACAGGUGAACUCUUCAAGGCUCAGAGGAUCAGCAGCUUCUCCUGGCAGCUGAUGUUCCUGCAGAGCAGCGGGCAGAACGCCUCAUGUCCGUUCCAGACGCCUGGCGGUUUGGCUACAGCCUGAUGGCCUCCAAGAGGGUGAUGCUUCCAUCUGCACUCAAACAGCCUCAUGCUGAGGUCACCAUGGUGGGAAUGAACAAACACCAGGUUUUAUCCAUUAAUAACUGAAUCCAACAGCUUUAUUUCAUGCAAACUUCAAUUCUAAACUCUGAUAACUAACCAUUUCUGCAUAGUUUUAAAAGAAAAGCUGCAGUACCACAGUGUCCUCUAGAUUAAAUUCAAACUGGGACGGAGGACUGGUGGGACGGUCUCGUAGUGCGUGAAGCUGGUUAGUUUCUUAGACCUGCAAACCUGAGGAAUCGGAUCGAUCUUGGAAUCAGAAACUAUUAAUUUCUGCAGUUUUGUCCCUGCUUUUAAUGAAACUAGUGACAUUUUGUUCCUUUGUCAGGAUGAUGAUGUUCCAGGUGUCUCUGUUGUUCAAACAGAAGUUUGUGCUCCUGCUGAUUGACUUGUCCAUGGCCUGCACACUCGGUAAGCUCACGCAGAACAAAAGGUGAGCUGCAGUCUGAACCAGAUCUCAGGAUGGCCUGGUUUUUGUUCCCUUCGGAUUAUGGAUCGUUUGAUGGCAGUCUGUUGCUCUGGAAAGUCCCUCUGGUCCUAUCCGCUCUGGUUGGGGAGGGAGCAGGAUUUAAAAGUCGGAGCUUUGGUGUGGGACUGGAGGGUUUCCUACUGAAUGAAGCUACUGUCACCUCUAAAGGAAUGAUGAAGUUCCUUUUGGGUCAGAGGGAGGCUUCAGGAAGGUACAGAGUCUGGUUGAUGAAACCAUUGGCUUGGAGGAAAUGUUUUAAUUGUAUCUGUUCUUCUCUGCAGAGUUUGGUGGUGGAAAACAUGUACAAGGAGUCUUAUACGGUUCUUCUGAUGUAUGAGCAUCUUUUCUCUCUGGUCUUUGAUGAUGGACACUAAACACAGAACAUUCAAAGUGCCUGAGACUCCACUAAUCUGUAGACCACCUAUCAGACUCAACCACAAGAGAUUAGGGUUUAAGAUCACGAAAGAACCAACUGAAGAGGUCUGCCUAAUCACUCAUGGUUUAUCUCUUUGUAGAGACAAUCAGGAGUUCACAGUUUACCUGGGAUGUCGUCUUGGAGGAAGUCUGGAUUAAACGGCACCAGCUGCUGAUGCUGGAAGCCCCAGCAAGGCCUCGGCGUCAACCCGACUGUUCACAUGAAUGGCAGCAAAGCCUACGAGCUGCGACUUCCCUUCAACCAUGGUAACUAACCGUACACCUGGGUUCUGGACAGUGUUCGGGUUGAUUUGGAACUAAAGAUCCACCAACGCUCUGCUUGAACCCGAAUGAAUGUUCAGUUGGUUCAAAGAUGCAUUUGUAACGGUGGCAAACAAUCAAAAGAGAUAUUGUGAUUGAGUCCGCAACAUUUUAAUUUAAUAAUUGUUACAAAGUAACUCAGUUAGCGUAUCGCUACAAAGAGCACACCCACAAUCGUCGUUUCCUAGCAACGGGGGAGUGAUAUUGACCCCCCUCCGCAACCACGUCAAACUGCGACACCACUAGUAGAUAACACUAAUUUACCUCCCCUAUUCCAUCAAAAUGGCCUGUGUGCCACACGUUCAUGGGUCUGAUGGGUCUUUAGUUUAACUCCAGUUAACACAGAAGUGAGAGAACAAACUAUGAACAGAAUCCUGCUAAUUUCUCAGAUGAAAACUCGGAAUGUGAAGUUAACCCAAACCCUGACUUGUUAGAAGUUCUAACCCGGUUCUGUCUCUUUGCAGGUGAGCGGUUCUGAUCACUUUUGCCUCCAUGUUGAUUAAUAAAUAUUAUUUAUCA